UUUAUUAUAUUAACCCUACAAAGUAAAAUUUUUGGAUCCGCCACUAUAGGCAUACCUUUAAAUAUUUACUCUAACACUUGAAGAAAACAACCUAGAAGCUGGAUGAAAUUGAUUGUACUGCUCUAAACAAAGAACAUUAUUUAAAACUUUGUUUUCUAAAUUUUACAUUGAUCAAAAAUUUAAGAUUCUCAUUCAUCUUAUUAUUAUAGAGCUGUUGGACAUAAC
rnacentral:lncRNA from 1 species